AUUUGAAUGACCAGUCUGGGGUGACUGGUGACCGCAGCAGCGUCCCGCGUGAGUCCCCUUCUUUGGGAGACUGUCUCUGUGUUUAAACACUUCAUCGCCCCGAUCCAUAAGCCUGCAGAUCUGCAAAAAUGGUCAUUAAGGUCUUUUUAGCUACUUCAUCAGGAUCCACUGCGAUCAAAAAGAAGCAACAGGAUGUAGUGGGAUUUUUGGAGGCUCUGAAGAUCGAAUACAUGCAAUUGGACAUUGCAUCCAACGAGGAGAACCGCCUAUGGAUGAGGGAGAACGUCCCGGGGGAGAAGAAGCCCACAAAUGGCAUUCCGCUGCCCCCGCAAAUCUUUAAUGGGGAGGACUACUGUGGGGACUACGAUACAUUUUUUGAUGCCAAGGAGGGAAAUCAAGUCUUUGAAUUUCUGGGUCUUCCUCCUCCCCCAGGAUCAAAGCAACCGGAGCAGCCCACAGAGGUGGGCGAAGGGCCGGCCGGAGACGAGGCGUCUGCUCUGGAGGACGCGAAGGCCGCGAGCGAGGCUGAGGCCCCUGGGCUGGAUGUGACUGCAGAGGAGCCUACGGUGGAGAUUAAAAAAGCCUCCAGGCAAGAUGAGAACAAGGAUGAAGAGGAGGACGAGGCUAAGGAAGAAGAUGAUCAACAAGUGUCAGAGGGAGAAGAGGACCUGUGUGUGUCUGAGGAAGAAGAAGAACUGCAGCAACUUAAGGAGCCAGAGGAUCUGAUCAGUGAGGAAGAAGAAGAUGCGCCGGCGUCAGAGGUAUACUUUGUAUAUAACCAUGUUUGUAAAGCUAGUGGCAUGGUGUGAUUUACAGCAGCUAACAAGUUAAAUGUAUAGAUUUGGGAUGCAUUCAACGGUAUUUUCACUAAUUGGUUCUGUAUGUUUAUUCUAGAUUGUUGCGAUUGUACAGUUACCCUUAAUGUGGUUAUUUCACAACUGGUUUUUAAAACUUCUUCCUUGGGCCAUAAAACAUCAAUGGCAUGGAAAAGUGACGCUAUUAACAUGUGCACACGUGCGCCUGACGGGUUUGCUGGUGCACAGUUUAAUUUGGUGCAGGAAUGGGGUCCCAGGUCUCCUAGGAACUUUGGAAUGAUCCAAGAACUUUGGAACUCAUUUUUUUUUGUUCUUUACUGUUUAACACGGCACUUCCAGAAGUAGCUUCCAUACCAGGUAGAGACCUGGGGCUCGGUUAACACUUGCAGCCAUGACAGCUUCGCACUGACCUUAAUUCUCCUCACCUUUUCACCACAGUCCCAUAAAUGUCUGCUAUCGAUAUGUCAUUGGUUGAAUGAAAUUCUGCGUUAUGUUCUGUGCUAAUUCGGGGGAUAACCCCCCCCCCCUUCACUUAACUAGUGUGAUCUUCUCUUUUGGUACUUUUGGUACUUACUGAAGAGCAUCGUUUUGACCAACCAAACUCUCCAUCCCUUCAUACACUAACCCAUCCAUAUAUUCUACUCUUCACCUGUUACCACAAUCCUUCUCUUUCUCUCUCUACUCCUGACAAGGAGGAAGAAGAUGAAGAGGCAGACGCGGAGGAUGAAGAAGAUUAAUAGCAGGACUAGAAUUCAUAUUCAUCUAUGCAUUGUAAAGUUAGGAGAGGCCACCCCUGCCAGGAAUGACCUUUCAGCCAUCACCCGCCCCCAUGCCAUGUCUCCACCUUGUCACCUUUCCUUUGCACAGAGGGAAAAGCCCGUCACACCACUGUCAGACCUUGAAGACCACAUUGUGCACAUGACCGUACUGCGCUCCAGCUCCUCAACCAGAGCCAUUGCCACACCACACCACACCACACCAUACCAUACCAUACCGUACCACACCAUACCAUACCAUACCGUACCACACCAUACCACACCACACCACACCAUACCAUACCAUACCAUACCACACCACACACCACACCACACCACACCACACCAUACCAUACCAUACCACACCACACCACACCACACCACACCACACCACACCACACCAUACCAUACCAUACCAUACCAUUAUAAUUAUUAUCAUCUCAGAAAAUACAGAAUGAAUGUUCCAACUGAUCUAGUAACCUCAGCUCUGAUGUUGCUUGUCUCUUAAAAUUUCUGUCCAGCAGCCUUUUAAACAAGUAUCCAAACUGCAGCAUACAUUUUUCUUUAAUUUCACAUAAUUUCACAUUGAUUGAUUACCGAUUUAUGUACUAUUAGACAUAUACAAGCAUAAAACGUAGGUGGAUUUUAUUUAAAUAACAUCUUUGAGAAAUUGUUUUGCUUGCAGUGUAAGCGAAUGCAGUUUUGUUGCAGUCAAACUAAGAGCCUGGAACAGGAGUUCCUGCAGCUAUAAUGUACAGUGUACGCCAUACCCUCACUGUUUAUUUGCUGCUUAACAAUAGUGAUAACAAAAGGUUAACUCAGACUUGCCACCUUGAGGUUACUGCAUAGGCUGCCGUAUGAACGUUUCUCUUGAAUGUUAUACAGAAGCAUUGUAAUGAAAUCUAGAAAUGUGUCCUUGAGAGGUGCAGUGGGCUAUCCCACAUGUCAGUCAAAAAUUAGUUUAGUGUCCAAUAUUAAUUAUUGAGGGUCUAUCUAUCUUUUAAAUAUACUGAGAUCUGUGCUACCUAUGAUAUAUAUCAAUUGUAGGGUAUAGACACACUGAUUUUUUUUUAAAAAUUCAACUUUGGAGCUCAUUUUCUCAAAACUCUGUUUUUGUGGGAUAGCCCACUUCACCUCUCAAGGGCACGUAUAGAUCUCUCUGUAGAUAACUUUGAAAAAAAUGUGUACUUCAGUUUUGCACACUGUAGUAUGGUGCGUAUGUUUGUUGGGAUGCAUUACUGCUGCUUAGAACAUGCCUGGAUUCAUGAGCUUCCUCAUCCAUGGCUUGCAGGAAAAGCCCCAUCUUAGUUAGUCCUGCUUGAAUGCACCCGCAUUAACGCAGAGGGAAGGAAAAGCAGGGAAGAGUUUUUAAAAUAUUUGGCUGAAGUGCACGAGACCAUACUACUUUAUAAAUGCCCUAGUCCAUUGAGAACGUGUUUUCAAACAAAUACACAAACUGUUGAAUGCACUUUGUCAAAUAAAAAAAAAAGUGAUUUUCCGUACCCCUAGGUGUAAAAAAAAUGUCAAUAAAAUUUUGUUAGUGAUUGUU